rnacentral:rRNA from 1 species
GUGUCAGCAGCCGCGGUAAUACAGAGGGUGCGAGCGUUAAUCGGAAUUACUGGGCGUAAAGGGUGCGUAGGCGGAGAUAUAAGUUAGAUGUGAAAAGCCUGGGCUUAACCCAGGUCUGUCAUUUAAUACUGUAUUUCUAGAGUAGAGUAGAGGGUAGUAGAAUUCCCGGUGUAGCGGUGAAAUGCGUAGAUAUCGGGAGGAAUACCGGUGGCGAAGGCGGCUACCUGGACUCAAACUGACGCUGAGGCACGAAAGCGUGGGUAGCGAACAGGAUUAGAUACCCUGGUAGUCCACGCUGUAAACGAUGAGAACUAGCUGUUGGGACUGUUAAAGGUUUCGGUGGCGCAGCAAACGCAUUAAGUUCUCCGCCUGGGGAGUACGGCCGCAAGGUUAAA